CUUCAGAUAAGUGCGGCUGUUUGAAUGUCUAUGCACACUAAUCCAAGAGUAAAUGAGGAACUUAGAAAAAAAAAUUGCCAAUCCCAAAUCAACACAAUUGCACAAAAUUGAAAAUGGCCAAGUUACCGCUUCAUUUGAGGACUUUUGCCAGGAGCUCAGGCACUCUGAAUGAGGGAGUUUGUCCUCUCUGCUGCCGGCUGAAGAAGGUGCCCUUUCACAAGGCCUCCCUUGAAGUAUUCUGAGCACUUAAGCAAGCCCAGAACGAUGAAGCCCAUAGUUUCAUGUUUUGAGAGGGAAUUCCUUUUGAACUUUGUAAUCGUUUAGUAUGCACCCACUUUGUACAUGCACAUAUAAUUUUACUUCCUUUUCCUAUCAUGUCAGAUAACCUAAGUGAUGAAACGUUGGCUUAUUUUUUCACUGGUGUUUCUUACAAAAUAGUAUAGUUUCUUUUUUAUGUUGCUGGCACGGUGGUUUAUAUAAUUUAAUAUGGCUGUAAAUAGGAAGCAACUGUGAGAAAUUUCUCUUCAUGUUGUGCGUGUAUAAGAAACAUGGAGAGAGAUCAGAUGUGAUCAAAUUAUGCAAACAUUAUUUACUACCAAUAUUGCAAAGCAAGAGAAAAGUAAUCCUAUUUGCUUUACUGGAACUGCUCAUUCUGUUUUAUAGUAACUGUUGUCAGGAUUAUGUUUUGAGAAUUAAUUCAGUUUUCAAUGCCACCAUUAGAUUCAAUGGAGAGCAGAAUAAAUCACAAUCUAACUGAAAGUGUGAACAAAAAAAACUUACUUUACUGUGAAAGUCAAUUUAAUGUCACCUGUUAAAAUAAACAAGUUUUAUUGUCCUAUUAUAAA